CCCCAGUAACGGCGAGUGAAGCGGCAACAGCUCAAAUUUGAAAUCUGGCCCUCGGGCCCGAGUUGUAAUUUGGAGAGGAUGCUUUUGGCGCGGCGCCUUCCGAGUUCCUUGGAACAGGACGCCACAGAGGGUGAGAGCCCCGUACGGUCGGACGCCUAGCCUAUACAAAGCUCCUUCGACGAGUCGAGUAGUUUGGGAAUGCUGCUCAAAAUGGGAGGUAAAUUUCUUCUAAAGCUAAAUACCGGCCAGAGACCGAUAGCGCACAAGUAGAGUGAUCGAAAGAUGAAAAGCACUUUGAAAAGAGAGUUAAACAGUACGUGAAAUUGUUGAAAGGGAAGCGCCUGUGACCAGACUUGCGCCCUGCGGACCACCCGGCGUUCUCGCCGGUGCACUCCGCAGGAUGCAGGCCAGCAUCGGUUCUCCCAGGGGGACAAAGGCCGCGGGAACGUAGCUCUUUCGGGAGUGUUAUAGCCCGCGGCGCCAUGCCUCUAGGGGGACCGAGGACCGCGCUUCGGCAAGGAUGCUGGCGUAAUGGUCACUAGCGACCCGUCUUGAAACACGGACCAAGGAGUCAAGCAUUGGGGCGAGUGUCCGGGUGCCAAACCCGCACGCGAAAUGAAAGUAAACGUAGGUGAGAGCUUCGGCGCAUCACCGACCGAUCCUGAUGUAUUCGGAUGGAUUUGAGUAAGAGCCUUACCGCUUGGACCCGAAAGAUGGUGAACUAUGCCUGUAUAGGGUGAAGCCAGAGGAAACUCUGGUGGAGGCUCGCAGCGGUUCUGACGUGCAAAUCGAUCGUCAAAUAUGGGCAUGGGGG
rnacentral:rRNA from 1 species